GUGGAGACGAGCCGAGUGCGUUUGGAAGGCAACCCCUACUGGGAAUCAAUCCUCCAACAUUGCGUCGGCCAUGAGGCGCUCACGGUGUUCCUGAACUCCUGACAAGAAUCCUGUAAAGGAACAUCAUUUAAAGGGUACUUUCAUCCCUCUCUGCAGCAGCCGGGCAGCAGUGUGUGUCGUGGCAGGAUGUGGGUACAAGAGUGGCUCAGAGAAAGAGAGAGAGACAGAGAGACAGAGGCACAGCACCAGUCUGAUACUCUACCUAGGAAAUCAAGUACCCAGAAACACAGCUCACGUUGAAAGAGGACAUUCAAACACAGGAGACAAAAAUACCUGCAGCUGAUCCCAGUAAUCUGAGUAUUUGAGGGGUGUUGAUUAACUUCUUACAUAAUUAUUCAGGGUGAAAGCUCUGUCUCGUCAAUGUGUAAACAGUCUGCACGCUUAAUGAAGAACAUGUUAGUUUUUUCUGCCAAUCAGAACGCUUCGGGCUUUCUUAAGCCUGCCUCCUCAACCAAUCAGAGGCCACCACCAGACAAAGAUAGCCAUACCAACAAACACCAAAAUAAUGCUGCUAAUAUGAAAGACACAGACCUGUUCAUGGAGAAAUGUGGCCACGGACGAUGUCCUUCCAAGGUUUUCCAGGCAGCCGAUGGAAAAAAAGGAGUGGGAAUUUCUUCUUUCACCCCUCCUCCUUCGUUCCUCAGCUA